GAUUCUCGUUGCUAUUACAGUCCCUCAAAACAGGCAGCCCGGUAACUAGAGAACUAUACAGCAACCCCAACAAGAAGCUUUAUGGAGACCUAUUUGAGCACUCAAUGGGGACCCACACCUUCCAUCUGGCUAAGACAUUUGUGGAUAAAGUCAUCUCUGUCAGAGAGGAGGACUCUCUGGUAGCCAUGCUAAGGUUCCAGGAGUUUGAACACUCCAUGGUGGACACAGAGGGAGCCAUGGGACUGGCGGCCAUCUUGGCUGGU